AAUGUGCUAAAUAAGCCUGCUAAGCCUAAUUACUGGUAUUAACCUACCAGACACAUU
rnacentral:tRNA from 1 species